rnacentral:rRNA from 1 species
GACGAACGCUGGCGGCGUGCUUAACACAUGCAAGUCGAACGGAAAGGCCCUGCUUUUGUGGGGUGCUCGAGUGGCGAACGGGUGAGUAACACGUGAGUAACCUGCCCUUGACUUUGGGAUAACUUCAGGAAACUGGGGCUAAUACCGGAUAGGAGCUCCUGCUGCAUGGUGGGGGUUGGAAAGUUUCGGCGGUUGGGGAUGGACUCGCGGCUUAUCAGCUUGUUGGUGGGGUAGUGGCUUACCAAGGCUUUGACGGGUAGCCGGCCUGAGAGGGUGACCGGCAACAUUGGGACUGGGAUACGGCCCAGACUCCUACGGGAGGCAGCAGUGGGGAAGAUUGCACAAUGGGCGGAAGCCUGAUGCAGCAACGCCGCGUGCGGGAUGACGGCCUUCGGGUUGUAAACCGCUUUCGCCUGUGACGAAGCGUGAGUGACGGUAAUGGGUAAAGAAGCACCGGCUAACUACGUG